GGCGAUCAGAUACCGCCCUAGUUCUAACCGUAAACGAUGACAACCAGCGAUUAAUCGGCGUUAAUUAUAUGACCCGAUUAGCAGCUUCCGGGAAACCAAAGUUUUUCGUUUCCGGGGGAAGUAUGGUUGCAAAGCUGAAACUUAAAGGAAUUGACGGAAGGGCACCACCAGGAGUGGAGCCUGCGGCUUAAUUUGACUCAACACGGGAAAACUCACCCGGCCCGGACACCGUAAGGAUUGACAGACUGAGAGCUCUUUCUUAAUUCGGUGGGUGGUGGUGCAUGGCCGUUCUUAGUUGGUGGAGCGAUUUGUCUGGUUAAUUCCGAUAACGAACGAGACUCUGGCCUAUUAAAUAGACGAUAUAUUUAAAAGUAUAUCGCGCUUCUUAGAGGGACAAGCGGCGUCUAGCCGCAUGAAAUAGAGCAAUAACAGGUCUGUGAUGCCCUUAGAUGUCCGGGGCUGCACGCGCGCUACACUGAAAGAAUCAGAGUGCGUUAUACCUAGUUCGGAAGAACCGGGUAACCCAAGUAAAUUCUUUCGUGCUUGGGAUAGGGAAUUGCAAUUAUUUCCCUUGAACGAGGAAUUCCCAGUAAAUGCGGGUCAUAAGCUCGCGUUGAUUACGUCCCUGCCCUUUGUA
rnacentral:rRNA from 1 species